UGACGCAGGCUCGGGCUUGCCGGUUAGCAGCUAUGGCUGGUGGUUGAAGCGUGUUCCUGCGGCCGCGGGCUGCUCCUGGCCAUCGUCGUCAUCCGAGGCCAUCGAGGGUCCCAGGCCGUGCCUGCCCUCUGCUGAGGCCGGGUCCAGGCUUCCAGUCGACUCGGAUCUCUUCGGUCCAAGUGCAGAUGCUGAGCACACCAGCCUCCACAGGGCUGUGGUCCAGAGACACUGUUUGUGAGGCUCGAGUUUCUGCAGUCCUAAGAGCGAGGUGCUGGCUGCCCUUUUGCCCAGAUUGUCUUUUCAAGGAUGUUCGAGUAGCAGACAGGCUUGGGAUGUAUGAGGUGGUGCCUCCCUUCAGAGCAGAGAGCAGGUAUGCCCACUGUCCACCGUAAAAGAUUUGGCUUUGGUGCACCCUGGGUGCCUUUUCUGUAACGCUGCCUACUGCGUGUGCGGGUGCCUUCUAGCUCCCCUUGCAUCACCCUGUAGGAAUCGGGGCUGGUGGAAAACGCUGAUGUUCUGGCUACUGCUGUUUUGAAUAAUCAACUGGCUUUGUUUCUAAUUGAGGAAUCUUGUGUCUCCUACCAGCAUCUGUGAAACUGGGGCUUGUCUGCUCUUGGGGGUGGGGGGUAGAUAAGACCCUUCACCUCCCCCCAGCAGGCUCUGCUGUGCCCCUACCCCAGCACAUAACACGCAGUGUCUGCCAUCCCCCAGUGUUUCAGCUGCAGAAAGCACAGGAUGCCAGAACUAGAAGAGAUCUGAGAGAUGAUCCGUUCGGUGGCUGUCAGGCUGUCCAUGGAAUCUGCAGGGGUGUGGGCGCUGUGUUAUCUGCCUCCAGAAGAAGGAUCCUGGCUGUGC